AUUGAACGCUGGCGGCAGGCCUAACACAUGCAAGUCGAGCGAGCGGCGCACGGGUGAGUAAUGUCUGGGAAACUGCCUGAUAGCGGGGGAUAACUACUCGAAACGGUUGCUAAUACCCCAUACCAUCACAUUUGCCCAGAUCGGAUUAGCUGGUAGGUGGGGUAAUGGCUCACCUAGGCGACGAUCCCUAGCUGGUCUGAGAGGAUGACCAGCAACACGGGAACGGAGACACGGUCCAGACGCCAACGGGAGGCAGAAGUGGGGAAUAUUGCACAAUGGGCGCAAGCCUGAUACAGCCAUGCCGCGUGUAUGAAGAAGGCCUUCGGGUUGUAAAGCACUUUCAGAGGGGAGGCGUUACCCGCAGAAGAAGCACCGGCUAACUCCGUGCCAGCAGCCGCGGUAAUUC
rnacentral:rRNA from 1 species